rnacentral:misc_RNA from 1 species
UAUAUAUAGAGUUAAAACGUUUUUUUGUGAUAAAGAAAAUAAAAUAAUUUUUUAUGUUUUUAAGUUGUAAGCCUAUUUUUCUUUUGAAUUAGAAGUUAUUUUUAAUUGACAAGUAAAUGAGUUUUUAUAUUUUUUAUGAAAAUAAAAAUUACUUAAAGAAAAAAAAAUGGAAAUUCUUUUAGAAAAUGAUAAAUUAAAAAAAAUAAAUUUUACAAAAACAUAUCUAGUGCGCUCUGAUGAAAUUUUAUGUUUUAUUGAAUUUUAAUAAUUUUUUAAAAUAUUAACUCGGGACGGUGCAAUCCUGUGGAACUUUGCUGAGGGCUGGAAAUUUGUGGCUCAAAAGUGAAAGGUAUGAUUGUAGGAUCUUAUGAUCGAUGUAGAUCCAUUAGCUCAAAGCGGUAAGAGCGCCCAGGUCUAUCGUCUUGGGGGGAUGGUGGUUCGAAUCCACCUGGAUCUUUUCUUAAUAACUCUCUUGCUUGGUUGUCAAUGUGCUAUCAAAUUUUGUUAUGUAAAAUAUUAUUCCAUUCCAAAACCAUAUUCUUCAUGUCAUUGUCUGAUGAGUUUCCUGAUGGUAGGACUUUUUCAUUGAUUUUCAGGACCUGCUUCUCUUUUUGUUCGGACAUGCCCACUUGCUUUGGUGGGAGCUAGUGCUGUGAGUCCCAUCCCAUUGGCUAUUGCAUUUUACUCUUUAUUUUCCAUUUUGUCAGGUUGCCUUGCCUUUUCCUUUGGCAUCUUUUACGGACCACAGCUCAGCCACCACCCAAUACUUAAUCUUCACCGGGUGCCUAACUUUCGAAAUUUACGCUAAAGCUUCUCUUUUUUUUUAUUUAUUAUUAUUAUUGUUAUUAUAACUAGGUUGUUUGGAAUUAGGAUUUGUCGUUAUAUUUUUUUAAUCAAAAAUAGCAUUUCAUUGAUUAAAGCAUGGCUACAUUGUUCAAAGCUCAUCUACAAUAGAUAUUCUAACUAAAUAACAGCCCAACAAAAUAAAUGAGCCAAGGCCCUUAGAAAACAGUAAAACCUAGAACAAACAGGUGCUUGACCCUACACCAACGAUCUGGCAAAGAUAAGCAAAACACAAGCACCACCGCCAGCACUAGCCACUAGGAGACUUACUCUAUCCAAAGGGACUGUACACGCUAUAAAAACAGUGCUUAGGGUAUCUAGAAAAUAAGCAAAACCAGCUCGACCCCUUCACACAACAAAACCACCGAACAUAGGCGAGCCAGGAUUAAUCUAUUGUUGAGGAAGAAACAAGUAACCAUGGAUAUGUUGGAUGACCGGGAACAGCAUGGCAAAGCUCCGGCGUCUCAUUCUUGUCUAGCCCCGGGAUUACUGACCAUCAUUUCAUUUGGAACCAUCGCCUUCCUUGCGUUGCCAGCUAACUGGGAGACCCCUGAACAACCACCUUAUAACUUCAAUUAUUUAACUAGUGAUGAGGAUACUAGAAACAGAGAAAAACUAUAUGACAAAGGAAGGAAGAAAACCUCCCUCAUUUAAACUCCCUCACUAAAGAAAAACUAUAAGAGUUGUCAUUUGAACAACACAUUGAGACGCACUUAAUUUUUGCUAUCACAAGGUCAUUUUUAUCUAAUUUUAAACGGAUCCAUCAUAAGAGCAUCGACAAAAAUCAAACAACACUUAUAAAUCAAUUAUUGAAAGCAAGAAAUCCCUUUCUGUUUUAUUCAGAGUCCCUAACACUCUCUCACCUUAUCAAUAUUUUUAUAAUUAUAUAGUCUUUGAAGUUUACAAUUACCUACCAAUUAGUGCUUACAUUAUGCUCAUUUUCAAGUAUUUAAUCUCUUGAGCUUUUGACAUUUUUCUAAUAGUAAUGACUUAUUUGAUAUACAUAUCAACGUCAAUAUCAACAACUAAACCGAUCUUACAAUAGACCAAUUGAAUAAAAAUAUUUCAAAAUGACCAAUAAAAUGUAUUCACUUUUUUAUAUAGCUGUGUAUAUUGGUUUACUAAAAACAAGAACCCAUAAUCGAAAACCCACCAAAAAGCCACUUAUUAACCCACUUUAAAAACAACAUUAUCUUUAUGAUAUAUUAAUGAGUAUAUUGUAUUUUAGAUGCCUGAAAUUUCCUCUUAUGUAACAUAAUCG